ACCAAUAGGUCUCUCAAUCUAUAUCGAACAUGGUUCUUGCCUUUUACCAGAGCCAUCCGGGUGCUGUCUUCAUACCAAAAGGAGGUUUGUGUGAAUAGUUCUAAUUUUUGGAAACCUUUGCACACUACAGAAC
rnacentral:snRNA from 1 species